GACUGCUCCGGUGGCUGGUGGUAUCAUCGUCCGCUUUGAAUGCGAAAGGUUACGGGUUCGAAACCCGGCUGAGUCA